ACACGUCACAUAGCUAGAAGGGAAACGAAGUAGCGUCGUUACGUAGUUUAGCUGCUGUGUAUGAUAUGAACCACUAGAUGACAGUCCGUAAAUUUCUUCUGCUUUACCUCUGUUUGGUAUAACACUGUAGCGAGACGUUGGGGUUUUCCCAGUUGACGAAGUUAUAACUUAUAAGCAGUGUUUUUCGGUUGAAACACGAGUUAAGAUAUAAGCUUACGAAGCUAAAGCCUUUUUAGCCUGCUCUACCUAUUACAGUCAUGAACUACAAAUUGUGUAUUCUGUUACUUUUCGUAUUCUCCAUGUCCAUCUUAACAGAUGCUGACGAUAAAAACCGCUGUACUCUGCAGCCAGAGAAAGGAACAUGCCAGAAAUUUGAAUUUGUGUAUUUCUUCGAUAAAAAAUCAGGAGAAUGUCGAGGUUUCAUUUACAGUGGGUGCAACGGAAACGGCAACAGAUUCAAGAGCGUGGAAGAAUGCCAGGCUACAUGUCUUGCUUUAUUAUCAAAUUCAUAGGAAUUUACUUGCAUGAUCUUUCUUGUUUUGUGGUUUUACGCUGGGUUAUGCAUUAAUAUGGUAGUCAAUUAACAAGAAACUAUACACGUAGUUAUAAGUACAUUAACAAAUUUACUUGUAUCUUUAGAAACAUACAUGGAUGUUAUAUUUGAAUAAAAAAAAGUAUUUUAAAUAUUUUGCUUUAAAUCAAAUAAAACAAAAACGUUCUGAUCUCAUCCAAAAUGUUAUUAAUCAAAAACCAUUAAAUAUUUACUUGUAUCUCCCGUUUUGUGAGGCAAAUAGAGAUUAAUUAGUUUAGCUGUACGCGCUCGAGAAAUACAAAGAAAUUGUUUGAUUUACACACUACUAGAAUUGGCAGGCCGCCCCUCGGAGUUGUAACUCAAAACAAAAAUAGCCUUCUAAAGUAAUAUAAAGGUGUAUACGACAAUCUGUAUUACAAAUUCAUGCUUCAAAGGUAGCCAUGAUCAGGUAUCAGUCUCCAAAUAUAGUUGUACACUGCAGAACGCUUAAUUACUCACUCUAUAUAUCUUAAUGUAGGGCUAUUCAUUUCUGAUUUUUUUUUGUGUGUGUGUAUAUAUGUAAACAACACUUAUUUCAACGGAUUAGCCGAGUAAAGUGCGUUUGAACUUCAAACUAUAAUUAUCACAGUUCUGAACAUGGAUAAUUAUGUUUUUUCUUCGAUGUCAUUACCAUAAGCCUCUUGGAAAAUGUAUUUGAUUCUGUGCAGUUGGCAUAAAAAUAUUUUCUUACUUGAGCAGUUCAAGAUAUAGUAAUAGUCGAAUAUUAAUAUUCUGAGAAAGUGAAUUCCAAUUACUCAAUAAUUUGUGGGGAAUCUGAGGGUAUUUACAUCACAUUCAGCUUACAGAACUGCACAAUAUUUUCAUGUUUCUUUCAAAUAAAACUUCAAAAAAUUUGUAUAAUGUAUGUUUAUAUGAAUUGCAAAAUAUGUUAUCAAGGUUAGAUGCUUAAACAGAAAAUUAAUUUCUUGUGAAUUGUUCUAGCUAAACGAUGUUUUAACGUCCAAAUAAAAUAGUAUCCCAA
rnacentral:lncRNA from 1 species